rnacentral:rRNA from 1 species
ACGGCUCAGUAACACGUGGACAACCUACCCUGAGGUCGGGGAUAAACCCGGGAAACUGGGUAUAAUACCCGAUAGACCUAGAAUGCUGGAAUGCUUUUAGAUCUAAAGUUCCGACGCCUCAGGAUGGGUCUGCGGCCUAUCAGGGUAGUAGUAGGUGUAACGUACCUACUAGCCUACGACGGGUACGGGUUGUGAGAGCAAGAGCCCGGAGAUGGAUUCUGAGACACGAAUCCAGGCCCUACGGGGUGCAGCAGGCGCGAAACCUUUACAAUGCUGGCAACAGCGAUAAGGGGACCUCGAGUGCCACGAUACAAUCGUGGCUGUCUAGUUGCCUAAAAAGCAAUUGAUAGCGAGGGCCGGGCAAGACCGGUGCCAGCCGCCGCGGUAACACCGGCGGCUCGAGUGGUAACCGCUAUUAUUUGGUCUAAAGGGUCUGUAGCCGGCUUAGUCAGUCUUUUGAGAAAUCUGGCCGCUCAACGGUCAGGCGUUCAGGGGAUACUGUUAAAGCUCGAGACCGGGAGAGGUGAGAGGUACUUCAGGGGUAGGGGUGAAAUCUUGUAAUCCUUGAAGGACCACCAGUGGCGAAGGCGUCUCACCAGAACGGAUCUGACGGCAAGGGACGAAAGCUAGGGGCACGAACCGGAUUAGAUACCCGGGUAGUCCUAGCCGUAAACGAUGCUCGCUAGGUGUCACAACAAUCGUGAAUUGUUGUGGUGCCGUAGGGAAGCCGUGAAGCGAGCCACUUGGGAAGUACGACCGCAAGGUUGAAACUUAAAGGAAUUGGCGGGGGAGCAC